rnacentral:lncRNA from 1 species
UGUUGAACAGGCCACAAAUGGAGGAAGAGAGCAAUGGAGAACUUUUAAUCUAUCCAACUAUAUUCUGCAAACUUGGAAUGUAGUAUCUGCUCAGUGAGGCAUGAAGCCUGAAGAAACACAGUUUUCUCCAGUUGACUUUGGUUCCACAGUUACUGAAGAAUUUCUACUUUAAUGAGGGGAACAAGCCUGUGAAGACACAAGUUUUGGCAGAAUUGCAGUGGUCUGCAUUGGAAUAUGCAACUCCGGGGCCAGCAGAUUUCUGAAAGUGAGUACAUCUUUG